rnacentral:rRNA from 1 species
AGCGAACGCUGGCGGCAGGCCUAACACAUGCAAGUCGAACGAACCUUUCGGGGUUAGUGGCGGACGGGUGAGUAACACGUGGGAACGUGCCUUUAGGUUCGGAAUAACUCAGGGAAACUUGUGCUAAUACCGAAUGUGCCCUUCGGCGGAAAGAUUUAUCGCCUUUAGAGCGGCCCGCGUCUGAUUAGCUAGUUGGUUGAGGUAAUGGCUCACCAAGGCGACGAUCAGUAGCUGGUCUGAGAGGAUGAUCAGCCACAUUGGGACUGAGACACGGCCCAAACUCCUACGGGAGGCAGCAGUGGGGAAUCUUGCGCAAUGGGCGAAAGCCUGACGCAGCCAUGCCGCGUGAAUGAUGAAGGUCUUAGGAUUGUAAAAUUCUUUCACCGGGGACGAUAAUGACGGUACCCGGAGAAGAAGCCCCGGCUAACUUCGUG